UACGUAGAAGACUAGUGUUAUUCAUCUUUAAUAGGUUUAAAAGGGUACCUAGACGGUAUAAAUUAGUCUUAAAACAGGAUACGAUUAUACUAGAGUUAUAUAUGAGGAGGUGAGUAUUUAUGCAGUAGAGUUGAAAUUCGUUGAUAGCAUAACGACUGGUUAACGGCGAAAGCAACCUUUUAUCUAAUAACGUGACGUUGAGGGACGAAAGGCUUGGGUAACGAACCAGG
rnacentral:rRNA from 1 species